GAUGAACGCUGGCGGCGUGCUUAACACAUGCAAGUCGAACGAAGCAUUUAAGACAGAUUACUUCGGUUUGAAGUCUUUUAUGACUGAGUGGCGGAUGGGUGAGUAACGCGUGGGUAACCUGCCUCAUACAGGGGGAUAGCAGCUGGAAACGGCUGGUAAUACCGCAUAAGCGCACAGUACCACAUGGUACAGUGUGAAAAACUCCGGUGGUAUGAGAUGGACCCGCGUCUGAUUAGCUUGUUGGCGGGGUAACGGCCCACCAAGGCGACGAUCAGUAGCCGACCUGAGAGGGUGACCGGCCACAUUGGGACUGAGACACGGCCCAGACUCCUACGGGAGGCAGCAGUGGGGAAUAUUGCACAAUGGAGGAAACUCUGAUGCAGCGACGCCGCGUGAGUGAAGAAGUAGUUCGCUAUGUAAAGCUCUAUCAGCAGGGAAGAUAGUGACGGUACCUGACGAAGAAGCUCCGGCUAAAUACGUG
rnacentral:rRNA from 1 species